rnacentral:rRNA from 1 species
ACUCCUACGGGAGGCAGCAGUGGGGAAUAUUGCACAAUGGGCGCAAGCCUGAUGCAGCCAUGCCGCGUGUAUGAAGAAGGCCUUCGGGUUGUAAAGUACUUUCAGCGGGGAGGAAGGGAGUAAAGAUAAUACCUUUGCGCAUUGACGUUACCCGCACAAAAAGCCCCGGCUAACUCCGUGCCAGCAGCCGCGGUAAUAG